CCUACGGGAGGCAGCAGUGAGGAAUAUUGGUCAAUGGACGAGAGUCUGAACCAGCCAAGUAGCGUGAAGGAUGACUGCCCUAUGGGUUGUAAACUUCUUUUAUAUGGGAAUAAAAUGUUCCACGUGUGGGAUUUUGUAUGUACCAUAUGAAUAAGGAUCGGCUAACUCCGUGCCAGCAGCCGCGGUAAUACGGAGGAUCCGAGCGUUAUCCGGAUUUAUUGGGUUUAAAGGGAGCGUAGGUGGAUUGUUAAGUCAGUUGUGAAAGUUUGCGGCUCAACCGUAAAAUUGCAGUUGACACUGGCAGUCUUGAGUACAGUAGAGGUAGGCGGAAUUCGUGGUGUAGCGGUGAAAUGCUUAGAUAUCACGAAGAACUCCGAUUGCGAAGGCAGUUCACUGGACUGCAACUGACACUGAGGCUCGAAAGUGUGGGUAUCAAACAGGAUUAGAUACCCUAGUAGUC
rnacentral:rRNA from 1 species